GACGAAGGGGGCUAGCGUUGUUCGGAAUACUGGGCGUAAAGCGAGUGUAGGCGGUUGUUCAAGUCAGGUGUGAAAGCCUUGAGCUCAACUCAAGAAAUGCACUUGAUACUGGAUGACUAGAGGACCGGAGAGGAUAGUGGAAUUCCCAGUGUAGUGGUGAAAUACGUAGAGAUUGGGAAGAACACCAGUGGCGAAGGCGGCUGAUCUGGACGGUUACUGACGCUAAGACUCGAAAGCGUGGGGAGCAAACAGG
rnacentral:rRNA from 1 species